rnacentral:rRNA from 1 species
AUUGAACGCUGGCGGCAGGCCUAACACAUGCAAGUCGAACGAGUGGCGGACGGGUGAGUAAUGUCUGGGAAACUGCCUGAUGGAGGGGGAUAACUACUGGAAACGGUAGCUAAUACCGCAUACCAUCGGAUGUGCCCAGAUGGGAGUAGCUAGUAGGUGGGGUAACGGCUCACCUAGGCGACGAUCCCUAGCUGGUCUGAGAGGAUGACCAGUCAGACUGGAACUAAGACACGGGCCAUACGCCUACGGGAGGCAGCAGUGGGGAAUAUUGCACAAUGGGCGCAAGCCGGAGGCAGCCAUGCCGCGUGUAUGAAGAAGGCCGUCGGGGUGUAAAGUACUUUCAGCGGGGAGGCGUUACCCGCAGAAGAAGCACCGGCUAACUCCGUGCCAGCCGCCGCGGUAAUAC